UACGGAGGGUGCAAGCGUUAAUCGGAAUUACUGGGCGUAAAGCGCACGCAGGCGGCUUGUUAAGUCAGACGUGAAAUCCCCGGGCUCAACCUGGGAACUGCAUCUGAUACUGGCAAGCUUGAGUACUGUAGAGGGGGGUAGAAUUCCAAGUGUAGCGGUGAAAUGCGUAGAGAUGUGGAGGAAUACCGGUGGCGAAGGCAGCCCCCUGGACGUGGACUGACGCUCAUGUGCGAAAGCGUGGGGAGCAAACAGG
rnacentral:rRNA from 1 species